ACGCGCCGCCGUGCCAGGGCUGCCGGCGCCGCGCCGCGCAGUUCGUGUGCGCCGGCUGCGCCAACCAGUGGUACUGCAGCCGCGACUGCCAGGUGGCAGCGUGGGACGACCACUCGGAGAUGUGUUCCGGGUAGCGUCCACAGCGUAACGUAGUGACAUUUGCCUUAUAACAUAUUGUCACCUAGGUGACACGUCACACAGGUGACUCGUGAAUCUCGGUGUCCGACCUUCGUGCAGCUAGAAAGGUCUAAUUUAUUUCAUCUUUGUACAAUGUAGCUGCAACUUUUGUAACCAAAAUAUUAUACAGUGAUGGAUUUGAGUUGGCUUUGAAGUUUUUGAAGAUUUAGGUACAUUUUUAGUUACUGGAUUUUUGAAAAUACCUGGAGACAGGUAUGCUAUUAUUUAAAAGUUUGUAUUGUCCUGUUUUUAGGCCCUGAAGUAUAAAUAAUAUAAAUUGGCAGCUACUAGAUAAAACUUAAAUGUAAUUUCAUCUAAAUAAAAAAAAUCUAUGAUUUUUAUGACGUUAUUUCGUUUAACCUUUUAACCGCCGUAGACUGAUAUAUAUAAGACAUACAAAAUCGGGUCAUUUUGCCGCGGUCUGAUAAAUAAGACAAAACAUCGUCCCGCCGGCGCCACGAGCAUGCUCGAUUUAAAAUUCAAUGACGGUUAAAAGGUUAAAAGCUUCCACAAAAACGAAAGCUCCAAAGCCACAAUUUAAAAACAUCACUGUCUUAUCCUAUGUAGUUAUUGAUUUUUCCUAUAUUAUAGUAGAGUGUCAAGCUUCUUCGCGCUCUUUAGAAAUGCUAUUUUCAACUAUUAGAUGUAGGAUAUAGUAUUUUUUCAAUGUGACUACUGAGUACUGACUACAAGAAUGUAGUGAAUAAUUUUCUAACGAAGCCCGUUUAUUUUUAUUUUUUGACAUUGGUUAUUUUGACAGUUUUUUGCGGUAAUGAAAUCCCGUGCACUCAGCUUUUGUGAUAUGUUCCUUUUGACACAAAUCAAUGAAAAAAUGAAAUGUUGACUAAAAAGUAAUCUAUCAACUAAAAACAAUAUUUUUAUUGUGUAAACCAGUAUAGACAAUAAAGUUUUUCUUUUCAAACAAAUACGACUAUACUCCAUUAAAAAUAGAUAUAUAUAAAUGCCCUAAGUGUAUUAUUACUAAGUUUUACAAUGGUAAAACAAUACAGAACCCGUAACCCAAUCAAAUGUAACGGUUGUAACGAUUUAAAUAAAAUUAUUUAAAUUAUUGACUGACUAUUUUGUGGUAUUUAUUUUAGGCACUGGUUAGUAAUGCUUAUAUUUUUACAUAUAGUCUGACAAAAAAGAGUAGAAAUUAAAAAGUGGCAAUAAUGUAGUGUCGUCCCUUUCAAGUCACUCUAUAAUUCUAUAUAAGAAAACGGGACGACACUACAGUAUUGCCACUUUAAUUUCUACUCUUUUUUGACAGACUAUUAUAGUAUGUAUAAUACAUCCCAUCUAUCAAAUCUUCAUAGAAAAUAGCAUAAUAAACAUAUAUGAAUCACAAUCAGAGGUUGUGAAACAUCACUUAGUCGCAAAAUAAACACAUUAUGACCCUGUGAAAAAUAGAAUACUAUGUUCAAAAUACUACACGACUGGCCUGAGUCGAGUUUCAGUUCAAACAUAGGGCAAAGUAAGCUUGGUCCACAUACAAUAAUGUCACUGUACAUAUUUUUUUAAUUUCCAUUUGAAUAUGCACCUUAUGGCAACAGCAUAAGGUACGUUUUGGUCAGGAAAGCUAUUUCAUCUGUAUUGAAUAUCAGAAUCGAUUGCUUAACUCACAUACUGGAAUAUUGAGUAACAAUCAAUUUAUUGCAUUAAUUUUGAAACUCGACGGGCAGAAUAGCCAACUCACCAUCUCUUUCUAUUGAGUACAAUUCUAAAGAGAUGGAUGCAACUUGGAGUCGUGUAGACUUUAGGUAAAUUCAUUAUUUUACAUUACAAUGACUUGUAUUAUUUAAUCAAAUAAUGUUUGCGAAGCCCACUACUAUUUAGGCUAUUCUUUAUAUAUCGGAUGCUAUGUAUAAAUAAGCUAUAUAUAUCGUAGCGAGCCGUAGGAUAAACAUACAAUACAAUAAAUGUUAUUUAUGAAUGUAAAUAUUAUCAAAUUAUAUAAAUGAGUUCUGAAUUAUGCCGCACUGUAUCUUAUUCAAAUUAUAUUAAUUAUAUUCCCUACCAAAUUGCUUUAAGCUUGGUUGUAAUAAAAAUAGUUGUUCCGAAGAACAUAGAACAUUUAAUGCUAUUUAAUUUAAAUAUUUCUCAAUACUGAAAAAUUAAAUUGUAUAUUUGAACAUUUGUGCUUAGAAAAUUUCCGACCUCAAUCAUUUCAGUAUUUGGGAUGUAAAAAGAUAUAUUUAACGAGAAAUAUUACCGUGCCUUUAAGAACACCACAGGACCUGCCGCGAACACCGUAGUUCGCAAAUUGCGGGCAUCUUUCUCUGUCACUCUAAUUACGCCUUUAUUAGAGUAAAGGAGAAAGAUGCCCGCAAUUUGCGAACUUGAUGUUCGCGGUAGGCCAACAAAGCGUGGCAUGGUUCAGAACUGAGGGGUUACCGCGAAAACCGAAAUUCGCAAAUUGCGGGCAUCUUUCUCUUUUACUCUAAUGAAGGCGUAAUUAGAGUGACAGAUAAAGAUGCCCGCAAUUUGCGAACUUCGAUUUUCGCGGUUACAGCCCUGUGUGUGCCUGCGUGUAUACGCACCGGAAUAUAAGGACACGCCUUCACAUGUGCACCCGACAGUUUGAGCCCGAAUCUUGGCUUUAGGGCUCAUCAGGGCUUGACCUAAUGUUCGUACUUCAUUUUGAAUAUUGGAUAAUCUCGGGUUGUCUUUAAAGUCGAAACGGCUGCCGUCUUUUCGCUCUUUUGCUUGGUAUUCCACCUGUCCAAUGUGCAUUGCGUCUCACUCUCUCAUUAAGCAAAAUGUGACCAAGAAAUUGGAUAGGUGGAAUACCACCCUAAGCCAUGACUGGCCGGUUUUCACAUGGUUUUAAAUAUAUAAAAACCGGUCACUCACGUCGAUCGGUUAGCCGACGAAUCGUGCCGAGCAAUAUUCGACUUAAAAACAUGAAUGAUCCGUGUUAAUAUAUUUUAAAUAGGGGAAUAUUACGCAAAAAAUAGUGUAGCAUUAGCACAAAGAGUAAACAAACCGCCUUGAUGCAUCAAUGUCAUAUUUAUUCGUAACAAAUAAUCUGUGAAAAAAUGUCAAAAAACUGUUUACGACAUAUAGUAUAAAAAUAUAUAAGUUACGCUAUAGUUUACGGUUUGAGCUAGUGCUGCACUCUGGCGGCAGAACAUUGCAGUAAUACUCCCUAUUCAAAUAAUGUGUAAACUAUUAAGAUAUCAGACUUUAAAUUAUCCAAUCACAAGUGCUUCAAAAAUGAUGUCGUCUUUAUUUCGCCUUGAAAUUUAGACACAGAUGCUAGAACGUUCUAGGUUUGUAUAACUCAAGUCUAUGGAUAUUUUAGUUAAAUAGUUUAAGAUAAGGCUGGAAUAGACUACCUAAAACCUAAUUAAUCUUAAGAUACUGAGACACAAGCAUAGCUCUCGGCACAUAUUAAACUUAUAAAAGAGUGAAUGACUAUAUAAUAAUAUUCAUAAGAGCUGGCGCGAAACUUGUACUGAACUGUCAACAUUUUCAUAUAAAAUCCGCGACAUCUAUCGUGAAUCAGCGUUAUACUAAGUAAUAUUUGUAACUGACCCUCGAUGAACCUUAAAUCUAUUCAAUAAGGUCUAUUAUCAGUUAACAGUGUAGACCAUAUGUGCGAGAGCAAAUAAUGUUUGUCUUCAAUCCCUAAUUUGCGUAUAACGCAAUUCCCUUACCCAUAGCAUAGAAUAAUAUAGGUAAAUAAAGAGUGGUAACUCCAUACAUCAGUUUUGCCAAAACGCGCGUUAUUUCGUUGUCGACAUCUAGCGUUAAGUAGCGGAAUAUACCAGUACUGCUACUGCUAGUCGACAAUAGAUGUCGCGGCGAACAAAAACUCUAAUGCUCAACAAUUUUCAGCCUAUAAUAUAACCGGAUUACUCAAAAUUCUAUUUUGAACUCCUUCGGCUUCUAAGAUUAGUUGUAAACAAAUGUUUUAGCAGUACAUUUUUCGCCAUUACACUUGUGCCAUCUGCUGUCAAGUAGCGGUACUGAUAGUUCCACUACUUGACGUUAGAUGUCAACUACGAAAUAACGCGCGUUUUGGUAAGAAAACUGAUGUAUGGAGUAACCACUCUUUCUUUACUUAUGACCAUAGCAUGAUCGCAGCUAGCGAUAAUUCGUACUCGUAUUCUAUGUGAGUCUCGAAUUAGUUUUUAGAAAUAAAUAAACACCGGAAUUAUGAAUGAAUAACUAACAAUAAUUAUCUGUAAAUGGAGCGUCGAUGUAAAAUAAUUUAAUUUUGUAAUCAUUAUUUAUUCGAUCAUAGUAAUAUAUGGCAUAGAAUAAAUAAUAGUACAGAAGGUUCACUCUCUAACAAAACGCGUCUAUUACGACAGAUAUGACCGCAAGGUGGCGCAAACACGAGCAGGCGUCCGUUCCAUAGCGGUACGCGGCAACUACUACUGCUAGACACCAAAACUGGUGGUAAAUACAUGGGGUAUUUGUAGCGACGCAACAAAAUCGCGGAGUGAGCCACGCCUGUCUAUGGUUAAAUUACAGUUUUCUUUAUGCACUCUAGAAUAUUUUUCAGAUCCUUACAGGUUACCCAGUAAAUAGUUUUUCUUUUACGUUUCUUGAUACAUGAAACUUUCAAUAGUUAUGUAACGAAAUUUGUGUUACGAAAAAAUAAGUGUAUUGAGGAUACAAAGUCCUACGCCAUUUUAGUAAUUUUUUUUCAAGUCGCACUUCAAAUUUUAAUGGUUUAAUAUGUUACUAUGGUCGAAUAUUUCAAAUAAGAUGUUACAAUAAUAGGAUUAUUUAUUUUUUACAUAACGUUACAUAAGUAUUAUAUAGAAGCGUUCUAAUUUUCUACCGAUCCGUGCCAAAUGUACCUACGACCGGGUUAGUUUUGUGCGGUCUUUUCACUAUAUCUGGUUGUAUUAUAUAUCGGGAACAAAUUUUUGUACGAAAACUGAUGUCUUGAUUUUUUUUGUUGAUUUAUUUUUAAUUCCAUAUUUUUGGCGGUUGACAGCUUAAAUUUUUGGACGCCGUACAUUUGAAAAAAUUAUACGUACUUACUACAAAAAAGUUUAAAAACACGUUGGUUGAUUCGACAUUUUGUUCACACGCCACUUACCCCGGCUACACACGUUAACUAUAAAUCGUAGCGAUUAAUCUGUGCAUUCCGAUUUGCGCAGUUUUAUCUACCGUGUGUAUGACAAAUCGUUGUCGAUUAUCGUAACGAUUUGUCAUACACGCGGUAGAUAAAACUGCGCCAAUCGGACUGCACAGAUUAAUCGCUACGAUUUAUAGUUAACGUGUGUAGCCGGCAUUAGGCGAUGUCGGUAUCCAAAAAGAUAAGUACUUUUAUGCAACUGAAAAAGAAAAAAACACAGGGACCGACUACACCAAAAUACAGAUAAUACCUACCUAGUCGAUAUUCGAUAUUAUUUGCGGUCAUAAAAUUGUAUCUAGGUACUAAUCAUCACUCAGUCUCAUUACUAAUCAUCACUCAGUCUCAUUACUAAUCGUCAAUCAGAAAAUCGCAAGUAAAUGACUGUUGCGUCAAUUUUGAUGAAAUAAGGACGCUAGCACGAAGAAUUUAGCACAUUGACCCCCAUGUUCCUAUCCCUAUUGCACGCGCGUUAUAUUGCUGUCCCGCACAUGUCGGCGGUCAAUGCCACUGUGGGAGCGAGACAACAAUAUAAUUAUGCGCGUGCGAUAUAGAUAGGAACCGACGGGCAAUGUGCGAAAGUCUUCGUGCCUGGCGUCCUCAUUUUAGUACGUACCUGCUACUUUUCAAUCGCAUAAUAGUAGUUAGGGCAGCUGUCAGGUCAAAAUGAUCUUUAUUGUGUUUACAUAUAAAAUGUUCUUUCCAAUAACAAGGCAUCUACUUGAAAAGGUUUCACAGUCCACAACAUACUGUAUUUCUCAAACGCUAGUCACGAGUUUUGUUACCUAUAUAAACUGUUUAUGUAUUUUGUAACUUAUAUGAUGUUAUAUUAGAAUGUAUUAAAACGGUACUGUCUUUGAAGCCA